GAUGAACGCUAGCGACAGGCUUAACACAUGCAAGUCGAGGGGCAGCAUGAGGUAGCAAUACCUUGAUGGCGACCGGCGCACGGGUGAGUAACGCGUAUGCAACCUGCCCGAUACCGGGGUAUAGCCCAUGGAAACGUGGAUUAACACCCCUUAGUACUUUUAUCCUGCAUGGGAUGUGAGUUAAAUGUUCAAGGUAUCGGAUGGGCAUGCGUCCUAUUAGUUAGUUGGCGGGGUAACAGCCCACCAAGACGAUGAUAGGUAGGGGUUCUGAGAGGAAGGUCCCCCAAAUUGGAACUGAGACACGGUCCAAACUCCUACGGGAGGCAGCAGUGAGGAAUAUUGGUCAAUGGACGUAAGUCUGAACCAGCCAAGUCGCGUGAGGGAAGACUGCCCUAUGGGUUGUAAACCUCUUUUAUAAGGGAAGAAUAAGUUCUACGUGUAGAAUGAUGCCUGUACCUUAUGAAUAAGCAUCGGCUAACUCCGUGCCAGCCGCCGCCGUAA
rnacentral:rRNA from 1 species